GAUCCUGGCUCAGGAUGAACGCUAGCUACAGGCUUAACACAUGCAAGUCGAGGGGCAUCAGGAAGAAAGCUUGCUUUCUUUGCUGGCGACCGGCGCACGGGUGAGUAACACGUAUCCAACCUACCCUUUACUUGGGAAUAGCCUUUCGAAAGAAAGAUUAAUACCCGAUGGCAUAAUGAUUCCGCAUGGUUUCAUUAUUAAAGGAUUCCGGUAAAGGAUGGGGAUGCGUUCCAUUAGGUUGUUGGUGAGGUAACGG
rnacentral:rRNA from 1 species